rnacentral:rRNA from 1 species
UACGUAGGGGGCGAGCGUUGUCCGGAUUUAUUGGGCGUAAAGAGCUCGUAGGCGGUUCGAUAAGUCGGACGUGAAAUCUCCACGCUCAACGUGGAGGGGCCGUUCGAUACUGUCGUGACUCGAGUCCGGUAGGGGAGUGUGGAAUUCCCGGUGUAGCGGUGAAAUUCGUAGAUAUCGGGAGGAACACCAGUGGCGAAGGCGGCGACCUGGGCCAAUAUUGACGCUGAGGUGCGAAAGCGUGGGGAGCAAACAGG